rnacentral:rRNA from 1 species
GACGAACCGUGCGAACGUUGUUCGGAAUCACUGGGCUUAAAGGGCGCGUAGGCGGGUUCGCAAGUCUGUGGUGAAAUCCUUCAGCUUAACUGGAGAAGUGCCGUGGAUACUGCGAAUCUUGAGGAGGGUAGGGGCGUCUGGAACGGUCGGUGGAGCGGUGAAAUGCGUUGAUAUCGACCGGAACUCCGGUGGCGAAGGCGAGGCGCUGGACCCUUUCUGACGCUGAGGCGCGAAAGCCAGGGGAGCAAACGGG